AAAUUGAAGAGUUUGAUCAUGGCUCAGAUUGAACGCUGGCGGCAGGCCUAACACAUGCAAGUCGAGCGGAAACGAGUUAUCUGAACCUUCGGGGAACGAUAACGGCGUCGAGCGGCGGACGGGUGAGUAAUGCCUAGGAAAUUGCCCUGAUGUGGGGGAUAACCAUUGGAAACGAUGGCUAAUACCGCAUAAUG
rnacentral:rRNA from 1 species